UGGGGAAUAUUGCGCAAUGGGCGGAAGCCUGACGCAGCGACGCCGCGUGGGGGAUGACGGCCUUCGGGUUGUAAACCUCUUUCGACCUCGACGAAGCCCUUUUGGGGUGACGGUAGGGGUGGAAGAAGCACCGGCCAACUACGUGCCAGCAGCCGCGGUAAUACGUAGGGUGCGAGCGUUGUCCGGAAUUAUUGGGCGUAAAGAGCUCGGAGGCGGUGUGUCACGUCGGCCGUGAAAACCUGCAGCUUAACUGUGGGCGUGCGGUCGAUACGGGCAUCACUGGAGUUCGGCAGGGGAGACUGGAAUUCCUGGUGUAGCGGUGAAAUGCGCAGAUAUCAGGAGGAACACCGGUGGCGAAGGCGGGUCUCUGGGCCGAUACUGACGCUGAGGAGCGAAAGCGUGGGGAGCAAACA
rnacentral:rRNA from 1 species